rnacentral:lncRNA from 1 species
CAUGGCCAAGAAAGAAGAACACUAAAGCAGCCACCACCCUCUCAAUCUCUGACCUCCAUGAGGAAAUGAGAGGCUUGAGGACUGUGGAUAGCAGUGCCACUUUCACAUGGGCAGAUGAUUAAACACUGAGAGGCAUCAGUUCAUACUUGACCCUACCUGCACUUCAGCAAAACCAAAAUUCAAAUUACUGAGGAGGAGCAGCUGUGAUCAAUGGAGAACUUAAAGUGCUCAAUUUAAAUGGGUAAUGUGGAAAAUGUCUAUUUUUUCCUUGAUUUUACAUGUAUGUGUCCAACUAAAAUAAUCAAUUUUAGUGACAAAAUUGAGAACUUAGACCACUAAACACUGAAGUGAUCCAUGCCUUGCUGAUUCACAGUUUACCCAUUUAGUAUGAAGUCCCACCCCUCGCAAACAAAGAGGACUGGAGCCCGGGGAAAAUUUCAUUUCUUUCAGAUUUUAUCCAUCAGAUCUUAAAGUGCUAUGGUGAUGUAUCUGGAGAACUCAGGCCACAGUCUUAGAGGUUUCUUCACUAUUGAUGAAAAAGGAAUCCAAAGGUAGUUUAGAAUGGAUGACCCUCCUGUUAGCAGAGUAGUAAAUAAAAUACUGUAUUGGAGUCAAGUGUCCCCGUACACUGACCAGUAUGGAAAAGUCUGUCCUGUUGGAAACCUGGUGGUAAAACAAAAAUCUCCUACUUUAAAGUAUUUUGAUAAACUAAACUGA